rnacentral:rRNA from 1 species
UACGUAGGGCGCAAGCGUUGUCCGGAAUUAUUGGGCGUAAAGAGCUCGUAGGCGGUUUGUUACGUCCGCUGUGAAAACCCAGGGCUUAACCCUGGGCUUGCAGUGGAUACGGGCAGACUAGAGGUAGGUAGGGGAGAAUGGAAUUCCCGGUGUAGCGGUGAAAUACGUAGAGAUGUGGAGGAACACCGAUGGCGAAGGCAGCCCCCUGGGUCAACACUGACGCUCAUGCACGAAAGCGUGGGGAGCAAACAGG